rnacentral:rRNA from 1 species
GGAUUGCAGGCUGCAACUCGCCUGCAUGAAGUCGGAAUUGCUAGUAAUCGCGGAUCAGCAUGCCGCGGUGAAUACGUUUCCCGGGCCUUGUACACACCGCCCGUCACACCAUGGGAGCCGGUAAUACCCGAAGUCAGUAGUCCAACCUCGUGAGGACGCUGCCGAAGGUAGGAUUGGCGACUGGGGUGAAGUCGUAACAAGGUAGC